rnacentral:rRNA from 1 species
UUCCCAGGUGUAGCGGUGAAAUGCGUAGAGAUCUGGAGGAAUACCGGUGGCGAAGGCGGCCCCCUGGACGAAGACUGACGCUCAGGUGCGAAAGCGUGGGGAGCAAACAGGAUUAGAUACCCCUGGUAGUCCACGCCGUAAACGAUGUCGACUUGGAGGUUGUGCCCUUGAGGCGUGGCUUCCGGAGCUAACGCGUUAAGUCGACCGCCUGGGGAGUACGGCCGCAAGGUUAAAACUCAAAUGAAUUGACGGGGGCCCGCACAAGCGGUGGAGCAUGUGGUUUAAUUCGAUGCAACGCGAAGAACCUUACCUGGUCUUGACAUCCACGGAAGUUUUCAGAGAUGAGAAUGUGCCUUCGGGAACCGUGAGACAGGUGCUGCAUGGCUGUCGUCAGCUCGUGUUGUGAAAUGUUGGGUUAAGUCCCGCAACGAGCGCAACCCUUAUCCUUUGUUGCCAGCGGUCCGGCCGGGAACUCAAAGGAGACUGCCAGUGAUAAACUGGAGGAAGGUGGGGAUGACGUCAAGUCAUCAUGGCCCUUACGACCAGGGCUACACACGUGCUACAAUGGCGCAUACAAAGAGAAGCGACCUCGCGAGAGCAAGCGGACCUCAUAAAGUGCGUCGUAGUCCGGAUUGGAGUCUGCAACUCGACUCCAUGAAGUCGGAAUCGCUAGUAAUCGUGGAUCAGAAUGCCACGGUGAAUACGUUCCCGGGCCUUGUACACACCGCCCGUCACACCAUGGGAGUGGGUUGCAAAAGAAGUAGGUAGCUUAACCUUCGGGAGGGCGCUUACCAAUUUGGAUUCAUGACUGGGGCAAUUGGAACCAGAACAAGGCAGAGAACGAUAAGCCGCAAA